UACGUAGGGUGCAAGCGUUGUCCGGAAUUAUUGGGCGUAAAGAGCUUGUAGGCGGUUUGUCGCGUCUGCUGUGAAAUUUCGGGGCUCAACCCCGAACUUGCAGUGGGUACGGGCAGACUAGAGUGUGGUAGGGGGGACUGGAAUUCCUGGUGUAGCGGUGAAAUGCGCAGAUAUCAGGAGGAACACCGAUGGCGAAGGCAGGUCUCUGGGCCAUAACUGACGCUGAGAAGCGAAAGCAUGGGGAGCGAACAGG
rnacentral:rRNA from 1 species